GUGUCAGCAGCCGCGGUAAUACGUAGGGGCCAAGCGUUGUCCGGAUUCAUUGGGCGUAAAGAGCUCGUAGGCGGUUCGGUAAGUCGGGUGUGAAAUCUCCACGCUCAACGUGGAGGGGCCACCCGAUACUGCCGUGACUAGAGUCCAGUAGGGGAGUGUGGAAUUCCCGGUGUAGCGGUGAAAUGCGCAGAUAUCGGGAGGAACACCAGUGGCGAAGGCGGCACUCUGGGCUGGAACUGACGCUGAGGAGCGAAAGCGUGGGGAGCGAACAGGAUUAGAUACCCUGGUAGUCCACGCCGUAAACGUUGGGCACUAGGUGUGGGGGUCUAUCGACGACCUCUGUGCCGAAGCUAACGCAUUAAGUGCCCCGCCUGGGGAGUACGGCCGCAAGGCUAAA
rnacentral:rRNA from 1 species